CACUCGAUAACAGGGAUCAACGUUACAAAGCUCACUGGAGAGGGUUUCACUUUCACUCAAUGCUCCAAAAGGAGCUCUCAGAAAAUUAAUAUCUUUGCAAGGGAAAAUCUCUUCAAUCGCAGACUGGGAAAACUGCUGGUGAUGAUCAUAGUAAAGGCUUUUGAGAAGUUUCAUCCGCAAUGCAUCAUAGAAGAUAAUUCUUUCAAUUUUAUCAGUGCAUCGUGGGGUUUGCCUUCUUCAGCAGUGCAUCCUGUAGGGCAGAAUUAACAAGGAGCAACCAUAAUCAGAUGGCGUUUAGUUUAAGAGCAAGUUGAUGGUGACAGGAUGUGGCUCAACCUCCUCCAUUUGAUGAUUUAAUGAAAAUAAUUGGAGCCAUGGAGGAGAUGUGGCGAUGUAUCAGCUCGAGGUGUCUUCGGUCACUGUUGAGAUGAAUCCAGACCCUUUGGUGAACUGUGUGCUUUGCAUGGGGAGCAGAAAAAUAUUAAGGAAAUGAUGAUGUGUUCAAAGGCUUGAUUGCAUUGUGAAUGAUGAUGUGUGUCAUCCAUGACAACUGACUGUUGAAGAUCCAAAGGUUUUGUGAUCCAUGUCAACUGUCGAGGCCCCAAAGGUAUUAUUAUUCUUUAUACCCUUUGUGUUUAGUGAAGGAUCAGAAGCAGACACGUCUCUGUAAUAACUAGUUUUGUUAGGUAUUAGCUGAUUGUUUAAUGGAAGAUACAAGGAGAGAUGACUGGAGAUGUGUUCCAUCUCUGUUCAGAUAAGAAUUCUACUUUUGUGAGUAUAAUUGUGAAUAA